rnacentral:rRNA from 1 species
UACGUAGGGGGCAAGCGUUGUCCGGAAUCAUUUGGGCGUAAAGAGCGUGUAGGCGGCCCGGUUAAGUCCGCUGUGAAAGUCCAGGGCUCAACCCUGGGAUGCCGGUGGAUACUGUCGGGCUCGAAGUCCGGAAGUGGAGUGUGGAAUUCCCGGUGUAGAGGUGAAAUGCGUAGAUAUCGGAAGGAAACAUCAGUGGCGAAAGCGACUUCCUGGAACCAAUACUGACGUCAUGUGCGAA